AUGAUAAUUAUUCGGUGUUUUAGUGGAUUAAUGAGUAGUAACUCUUUAGAAUUUAUUAAUAAGAGUUUUAAGUCCAUUAUGGUGUGUAGUGAUUAAGCCCAAUUAAGAGGAGCAUAUAUAUUCUUAAGUCUUGAGAGAAAACUAGGUUAAACCAUUCACUCAUUUCAUUUCACAAACUUAGAGAGGUAGAGAGAAUGGAGAUCACAAACUUGGGAAAGAGGAAAGAAGAGAAAAGAAGAGGAAGCUAGAGAAAGCUAGGGUUCUUGGAGCUAGAGGGGAGAUUGAAGCUUAAGCUAGUGGAUUCAAGACCUAGAGAUUACUGCUCCCAUUUUAUUGGCCAAGACUUGAGAAAAAAGGAA
rnacentral:lncRNA from 1 species